rnacentral:tRNA from 9 species
GGGCGCGUAGCUCAGCGGUAGAGCACUGUCUUGACAUGGCAGUGGCCACAGGUUCGAUCCCUGUCGCGCCCACCA